ACAGCGGUGAAGAGGCUAAUAUGGCAACGCCCAGGCAGCUCCAUAGAGCAAAGUGCACGACCGACGCGAUAGAAAGGUCCAACAAGUUUCUCGUGCCUGCUUUCCUCUCCGCCAAGCUCCUGCCAUGUAUAUACAUGCUCUGAACCACCUUCGACGCGGCGUGCAAGACAACCACGGCAGCAGAAGCAGCAGCGGAGAGAAAGUGAAAGCAAGAGGGAAAGAAAGGUUUCACUUUAAAGGUCAUCUCGGUUGACUGACGGAUAUUCAAGAAAUUGCCCGAACUGCCUGACCCUUGUAUUUUCCAAUAUAUUGCAAGGUCCUGUUCAUCAUAUAUCUUCAGAAUAUGCAUGGAGUAAAUUGAAGUGCCUAGACCUCAAAUUGAAGAGGAGCACAGGUUUCAUGCUACAGAAAAUGGGGCCCAAGAGCGAUUUCUCUUCCGAGGAAUUAAGUGGCGAGUAAAGAUUCCUACUCACUGCUUCAUCGUUCGUUGUGCUGUGACAGGCACUGUUACACACAAAGUUAAUGGAAACAAAAAAAAACGCGACAAAUAAAGCGUAGACUGUGUGCUGAAUUUGAUGAACAAGAAUGGUGAACUCAGCUGCUGUCACCAGCUCCAGGUUAGAUGUGGUAAAAGUGCAGAAAAAGAUAAUCAGAAUGAAUCAGAACUGUCAAGGUGACCAACUUGAACCGUAUCGAGGCGAUAUGCUAGAAAUUGUGUUUGAUGAUGAGUUCUGACACACACGGUCACUCACGCAGGCUUCAAUACCAGACGCCACGUUGCAGAAUGCUCCCAUAUCUCUCGUCACGUUACGCUUGCUUCUGAGCAGGAUUUCCGCGCUGUCAAAAGAUUGUGAGCAACUGAAUCUCGUGCAGGGCGCAUCCAAGUUGCCCGGUGCAUUUAUUAGCCUGAGAGCAUAUCUGGGAUCCCUGAGUCCUGAUUCCAGCACCGGCCGGUUUGUGCCAUGUAAGCGCAGUUGCAUGUGCCCGGUGCCCUUUAAAUGACCCCCUCUUUUACGUGACAUGUGCGCAAAUUCGUCAUGUGCGAAGAGGCAGUCGUUUACAACAUACUGGUCACCAGCAAUCAUGCUUACCUUGAAUAAAUGGGCUGGUGCUUAAAUCAGAGACUCUGGGAACACACGUAUGCCCUCGGCCUAGUAAAUGCACCACAUAACUUGGCUCUGCACUGCACUAGAUGCGGUUGCACACAGUAUUUUGAGAGGACAAAAGACAUGCUCAGAAAGAAGCGUAAUGGUACGAGAGAGAUAUGGAAAGCAUCUUGUGUGGUUGUGGAUGUUGCUGAAACCUACAUGAGCGAGUCAUCUGUGUCGCGACCUCAUCAAGUGAGUCGCCUUUUCGGUUCUGAUUGAUUCCAAGUUUCUUUUCUCCGUUUGUUUUGUGCAUUCAACUUUCAGUUGAUACUAGCGGCUCUUAGUAUAAAUCCUUCUUAUUCAUUAAACUCGGCUGACAGUUCGAGCUUCUCUUGUGUGUUUUAAUUUCCCCUAAAUUCGUGUGUCACAACGAAACAAACAAUGAAGCUACACUAACUAGAGCCUUUUUUAAGCUUUGCAUACAUUCCUUGUCCAACACUUCAUUCCACGGAAGAGAUAUUUUUCGUUCAAGUUAGCCAGCCAUGAAGAGACAAGUAAAGAGACAAAUAAACAGCGCAA